rnacentral:rRNA from 1 species
GAUGAACGCUGGCGGCGUGCCUAAUACAUGCAAGUCGAGCGAACAGAUGAGGAGCUUGCUCCUCUGACGUUAGCGGCGGACGGGUGAGUAACACGUGGAUAACCUACCUAUAAGACUGGGAUAACUUCGGGAAACCGGAGCUAAUACCGGAUAAUAUAUUGAACCGCAUGGUUCAAUAGUGAAAGACGGUUUUGCUGUCACUUAUAGAUGGAUCCGCGCCGCAUUAGCUAGUUGGUAAGGUAACGGCUUACCAAGGCAACGAUGCGUAGCCGACCUGAGAGGCUGAUCGGCCACACUGGAACUGAGACACGGUCCAGACUCCUACGGGAGGCAGCAGUAGGGAAUCUUCCGCAAUGGGCGAAAGCCUGACGGAGCAACGCCGCGUGAGUGAUGAAGGUCUUCGGAUCGUAAAACCCUGUUAUUAGGGAAGAACAAAUGUGUAAGUAACUAUGCACGUCUUGACGGUACCUAAUCAGAAAGCCACGGCUAACUACGUG